UACGGAGGGUGCGAGCGUUGUCCGGAAUCACUGGGCGUAAAGGGCGCGUAGGCGGCGCGGGCAGUCAACGGUGAAAGCUCGGAGCUCAACUCCGAGUCGGCCGUCGAUACUCCCGUGCUUGAGCACUGUAGAGGCAGGUGGAAUUCCGGGUGUAGCGGUGGAAUGCGUAGAGAGUCCGGAAGAACACCGGUGGCGAAGGCGGCCUGCUGGGCAGUAGCUGACGCUGAGGCGCGACAGCGUGGGGAGCAAACAGG
rnacentral:rRNA from 1 species